AGUGUGUUGGCAGAAUAGUGCAAUUGAUUUAGGAUCAAUACAUGGUAUUACCACACACUA
rnacentral:tRNA from 1 species